UUGCUAUCUCAAUGUUGUCAAGAUUGAAGAAGUUUGAGAAAUAUGUUAAUCAAAAUGAAGUUGAAGCCCAACAAUGAAAUUUGGCUUCCAAUGAAGUGCAUAAUUGGUGAUACCACAAAAGAUACAAGAAUUUGCAAUCCUUCAUGGACAUCACGUACUCUACUAAUUCUCAUAGAAUAUUUUUGUUUUCCAUACCCUUUCUUGCUUUUAAACCUUAACCCAUAACCCCAUUACAACCGUAUUUUAAGACCUUUUGAUCCUAGAAAUUGUGUGAAUUUAAUUUGUGGAGAUGUGAUAUGAAGAGCAAGCUUAUAGGAUUUGAUUUUGAUUUCAUCCAUUCAUUUUUCUUGAGUGAAACACUUAACCCAAACUUUGAGCGUUUUCUUUGUGAGUGACAUUCUUGGUGAGAUUUGGAGUUGAAACUUUGAUUUGCAUAUAUACCUAUCCGGGUUGAGUGAGUUGUAUUGAUAUUGGCUAUGUCACACACUACACUUGAGAAUGUUAUGUACGGUUUUGUUAACUUUUGAAUCAUGCUUGUGCUUUAUAUGAUGGUUAUUUGAUUCUUUAGAG
rnacentral:lncRNA from 1 species